rnacentral:rRNA from 1 species
AUUAGACGAAUCAUCUGGAAAGAUGAAUCAAAGAAGGUAAUAAUCCUGUAGUCGAAAAUGUUGUCUCUCUUGAGUGGAUCCUGAGUACGACGGAGCACGUGAAAUUCCGUCGGAAUCUGGGAGGACCAUCUCCUAAGGCUAAAUACUCUCUAGUGACCGAUAGUGAACCAGUACCGUGAGGGAAAGGUGAAAAGCACCCCGGAAGGGGAGUGAAAUAGAACCUGAAACCGUGUGCUUACAAGUAGUCAGAGCCCGUUAAUGGGUGAUGGCGUGCCUUUUGUAGAAUGAACCGGCGAGUUACGAUUUGAUGCAAGGUUAAGCAGUAAAUGUGGAGCCGUAGCGAAAGCGAGUCUGAAUAGGGCGUUUAGUAUUUGGUCGUAGACCCGAAACCAGGUGAUCUACCCUUGGUCAGGUUGAAGUUCAGGUAACACUGA